AUUGAACGCUGGCGGCAGGCUUAACACAUGCAAGUCGAGCGAGCGGCGGACGGGUGAGUAAUGUCUGGGAAACUGCCUGAUGGAGGGGGAUAACUACUGGAAACGGUAGCUAAUACCGCAUACCAUCAGAUGUGCCCAGAUGGGAUUAGCUAGUAGGUGGGGUAAUGGCUCACCUAGGCGAUGAUCCCUAGCUGCGCUGAGAGGAUGACCGGCCACACUGGAACUGAGACACGGUCCGAACUCCAACGGAGGGCAGAAGUGGGGAAUAUGGCACAAGGGGCACAAGCCUGAUGAAGCCAUGCCGCGUGUGGGAAGAAGGCCUUCGGGUUGUAAAGCACUUUCAGCGAGGAGGCGUUACUCGAAGAAGAAGCACCGGCUAACUCCGUGCCAGCAGCCGCGGUAAUAC
rnacentral:rRNA from 1 species